CUACGGCCCUGCGUCAGGGGGAGAGUGCUACCACUCAAUUGGUUAAUCAGACUAUUUGACCAUGGGUCUAGUUCACCCAUCAUUAUUUUGCUAACUAGAUAAGACUUCGUCCAUUUCCAGAUAACACAAUAUUUUAAUAAUAAUUGAGCUCGUCACGGAAUGACGAGAAGUCAGAAUAAGUACACAGUGAAACUACAACUAGUUACCAGUUUCCUAUUCUACAGGUAACCCAUUAUGUUCUAUCUCCCCCCAAGUCUUAAAUGGUUCUUGGAUCAGAGAGUGUUUAAGACUGAUUGUCUGAAUAUGAAAAGUUAUAUAAAGGUCUGUGAUUAUUCUUUUAGUCCUUUUAUAUUGUGGCCCAGUAGUCUUCUCAGGGCUAAUGGUGGUUUCUUGUUUCUUGAAGGGACCUGGUUGUCGGUUGCUUGUUGGUCCGCUGUGGGUGGUGG